rnacentral:rRNA from 1 species
UGGGGAAUUUUCCGCAAUGGGCGAAAGCCUGACGGAGCAAUGCCGCGUGGAGGUAGAAGGCCCACGGGUCAUGAACUUCUUUUCUCAGAGAAGAAGCAAUGACGGUAUCUGAGGAAUAAGCAUCGGCUAACUCUGUGCCAGCAGCCGCGGUAAUA